ensembl:miRNA Mir705 microRNA 705
AUGUCCCAGUAGUGGUGGGAGGUGGGGUGGGCACAGAGGGAAUGACUUCUUUCUCCUGCAGUCCUCCCUACCUCCCUAACAU